rnacentral:lncRNA from 1 species
UUUAGCUAAUGCCUCGACAACUAAUGGGCAUUGGCAUGGUGAUGGUACAGUGGAUUUUACCAAUUAGGUAGCUAGUGUUAUAUGUAGUGUGUGUGUUGAGUAAGUGUCUUGUUACUUUGCAAAGUCGAUGUCAUUGUCUUUGCAGAGACGCUAAUUAUAUCCGAACGUCUGCGGUCCCUCCGAUGGGUACCGAUCACACAAGGAUAGAAACUAUUUUCAUUUAUUAAUUUAAAAUAAACGAAAAAUUCUCUACCCUGGUGAGAUUCGAGUUCACGACCAUUCGGACCUUUCGAUCCAAAGGUAGGCGCUCUUACCACUGAGCCACAGAGGGAGUUUAACUAGAAAUUAAUACGACUGUUUGUAAACAAAAACCAAACUUUUUUAUAUUUUAACUGGGGAACAAAAUGACCAACUAUAAUUAAUUUUUAUCAGUUUCAUAUUUAAUAUUUUGUAUAUAAUAUUUUGUCAUCCACUGAUUUUAACAUCUGCAUGUCUGGAUCACAUUCUUCAAACAAUUAUUUCGCAUUUUACAUUAGAAACACGCAAACACAACAUUUGUUGUUUUGCAAAUAUUUUAGUUUUCCAUCGUUAGCUUCUAACAGGCUCACCGAAUACCAGAACUCUUCAAUAACGCCUGAAAUAGGUACUGAUUGCACUGCUACUUGAAAUCUGUAAGUUUGUUACACCAGAAUCCAGUUUCAUUUCUGUUUAAUAUUCAUCAUCUACGUCCUGGGGCUAGAUUCCGUGCACUGUAGAUAUCUACACUUCGCUUUCUAUCGAUGUCAAUUGUCGUGAAAAUAUUUGAAUUUUUAGCUUUAAUUGAAUUAUUUUCUAGUUUUCCUAGUUGAUGCUGAAGUGACACUUAGUAAAACAAGAAAAUAUUUGAAUUAAAACUAAAAAUUCAAAUAUAUUGACAUUGAUAGAAAGCGGUCGGCGGUGUUAGCGAUUGUACACAGAAUCCCACCCCUGAAUCUUAUUUUCGGUAAUGACAUUGGGAAAUUGUAACAAAAUGUCUAAGAAUUAAUUUAGAAAUGGGGUAAAUACUAUUAAAAAGCAAAUUUUAUUUUAGUCAUAAGAAAAUGUUGAAAUAUACCAAAAAUCUACUAAAAAAUAUUGCCUACUAGAAUUUUUUAAAAAUUAUCAAAAAUCUACCAAAAAAGUAGAAAUCUACUAAAUGUGGCAACGCUGCACUACCAGCGCUGGUGAAAACCGUCAAAUCCCCUCUCCUCUACCCAUGGCGCGCCAUUUAAAUUUAUCAGAUAAAUGCACAAAACUGCCACUAACAGCGCUGGCGAAAGCUGUCAAAUCCCCUCUACCCAUCGGCUCAUGGCCAAUAGGCCGUUCCAAGAUGCUGUCAAAAUUAAAUCAAUAUGGCUACCGGAAGGCAAACAUUGAAUAUUAUUCUAUCAGGUUCUUAUGGUUUUAGAUCAUUUUAGUUGUUGUACAAAGAUUAAUUUAACAUUUUCUCUGGAAGUAUUAAUUUAGAAAGAUAAUAUGCCUCAUUGGUGUUGUGUUUUGAAGUGUGAAAUGCAAAGUAAUCGUGAUAAAGUUAGCUUUUACCACUUACCAUCAGUGCUACAUUCUAAGCACAAAACUGAACCAAUUUAACUAAAUAAGUUAUAGUUAUCAUCUGAGAGACAACAACAAUGGUAAAAUGCAAUAAAAUAUUAAGAUUUUACUAGCAAAAUGGAAAUUCCCCUGUAAUCAUCUUAUAUCUGGAAAAUCAGCCGACUUAACUGAUAAUAACAAUCCAGAUUGGGUUCCUUCAAUAAAUAUGGGGUAUAUAAACACAAUGAAAUGAGUUCCCCAAAAUCUAAAAUGGGAAUUAAGGUACCAAAGGAGAAUUAAAAGAAAAGGGUACCUACAAGAAAAAAUUGCUUUUUUAUUCCUCUUGAAAUGAUUUAUAAGACACUGGACUGUCUUAUAUUCUACAAAUACUAGGUAGGUCUAUGAUUUUACACAUUUUUCAUUAAUGAUACAUUACUGUUACUUUAGUAGAUUUAGAAACAGUGGAUAGUUAGUGGUAGAUAGCAGUUAUUUGGUAUAAAAGCUAGUUUAGUAGAAGACAAGAUUUUGCCAAAUAGUCAAACAUAUAUUACAAUGGAAAAAUUAACAAAUACAUUUUAUGUCAUUAACAUUAACACAGGAUUUUAAAUAUCAGCUUAAGAAAUUAGCUUUAUCUUGUGAAAGUAUAGAAAAUGAUGAUGCCAAAACUAAAAAUUAUACUGGUUUAGCAAAUUACAAUGUUUUUAAAAUAGCUUUAAAGUAUAUUACACCAUUUAUCAAAUACCAUCAAAAUACUGUUUUGUCACCAAGUGAUCAAGUAUUGCUGACUUUAGCUAAACUAAGCUUAAACUUAGAUUAUAAAGAUUUGGGAUAUAGGUUUAGUAUUUCACCCUACCCGGUAUCAACUUAUUUCAAAAAUACUUUGUAUAUAAUGUGUCUUAGGUUAAAAAAAUUUGUGUUCUGACCUGAUAGAGAUAUUUUAAAGAAAACUAUGCAAAAUUCACUUAAAGAAUCUUUUCAUGGAAAUACUACAGGUAUAAUUGACUUUGGACGAAUGUUGGUAUGAAACGAAUUAUUUAUUGUUCUGAAGCCAGUUAUUUGAGGCACUUUUGUAAUUAACUAUUCUAAUUGGGAAAUAAGCCACAAUUUAACUUAAAAAAUAAUUUUAUUAAUCUUUCGACUUCCAAAUCAGACGUCAUUGUCAAAAUACAAAAUAUUAUUAUUUAUGCAUAUUAUUACCUGUAAAUAUUUCUUCUGAUUGUUAAUUGUAAAGGAUAGAAAAAUUACCAUUUAUUUUAUUUUUUUUAGAAUCAGCUGAGAGAAGUGGUCUACAAAAACCCAGGAAGGAAACGGAAUAUGUGGCUACGAAAGGCAAAAGAAAGGUUUACAAAGCAAAUGUGACACAUUUUUUUGAAAUAUUUAGGAAUAUCAGUAAAUUGCAUUAAAAAAAUGUAUGAAAAGAUUUUGUUCAAUAAAAAUGUUUAUAUUUA